rnacentral:rRNA from 1 species
UUGCCAGCCCGCUCAGAAACUACAAGGAAUUGAGGGGCCCGCACAAGCGGUGGAGUAUGUGGUUUAAUUCGAUGCAACGCGAAGAACCUUACCUGGUCUUGACAUCCCGGAGACCCUUAGGAAACUAGGGGGUGCUUCCAUCUGGAAGAAUCUGGAGACAGGUGCUGCAUGGCUGUCGUCAGCUCGUGUCGUGAGAUGUUGGGUUAAGUCCCGCAACGAGCGCAACCCUUGCCUUUAGUUGCCAGCAGUUCGGCUGGGCACUCUAAAGGGACUGCCGGUGUUAAACCGGAGGAAGGUGGGGAUGACGUCAAGUCCUCAUGGCCUUUAUGACCAGGGCUACACACGUACUACAAUGGCCGAUACAAAGGGCAGCGACACUGCGAGGUGAAGCCAAUCCCGUAAAAUCGGUCUCAGUCCGGAUUGGAGUCUGCAACUCGACUCCAUGAAGUUGGAAUCGCUAGUAAUCGUGGAUCAGCAUGCCACGGUGAAUACGUUCCCGGGCCUU